AUGCUCAACCUCACACUGACCUACCAGGGAAAACACAGCGUCAACCAAGACCAUGUCCACAACCUCAACCAAACCUUCAAUCAUGACGAUGCUGACCAUGAAAACAAUCAAAACCAUGACCAAACAGAAGAUCACAACCUCAAUCAAAACCAAACCUACAGUCAUGAACUUGACCACUUCUACAACUUUACCCUAGCGCUUGAACUCAACCACAACCAAACCCAUGGUCAUGACAAUGACGAUCACACCAUGUCCCUCCAAUUCACCCACACCCUCUCCCUGUCCUCCUACCCCCAGCUCUCUAGCCCCCUGCACCUCUGCUCCUCCUAUGGCCAGACCAGCUGCCACCUCCAGUUCCACCUGCACUACCCCCUCCCCUCCACCGUGGGACAGUAUACCCUAUCAGCCACAGUCUUCUCCCUCUCUGAUUCUGCUGUGCCGCUACUCUCCGCCUGUCUCCCUUGCCCCCUGGUGGUGUACGACCGCAUACGCACCCUCUGGCCGGCUGGAACGUGGAGCGCUGUGGUUCCGUCACGGUCAGAACUCAACCUCACGGUCACCAGCCAGGCUGACCACAUGGGUUCUAAGGUGCUUUGGACAGUUGCUAGGGGCAACACUACUGUGCUCAACAGGAUCACUGAGGGCUGGACCGUGACCAUGACAUUCUCGAUCGCAGGGACCUAUCUGGUCACGGUCAAAGCCUUCAACCCAAUCAGCUGGGUUGGCUUCCACACACACUUCCUGGUCCAAGAUCCAGUCGGAGAAUUUUUGUUGAACAUUCCAAGAGUAGUCACGGUCAACUGUCCGACCGCAGCGUUGUUCACCAUCACAACAGGGUCGAACAUGUCUGUGGUGGUGUUAACGAACACAUCCGUGCUGUACCAGAACAACAGCUACACAGCAGGGGAGGAGGUGACCGUGGGUUUGUUGUUUGACUGUACUGGGACCACUGAGGUUAAGGUCAGAGCUGAGAACCUAGUCUCCUCUAAGAACAGGUCCGUGAACGUGUGUGUUCAGCUGGUCAGAAAGUGGUCACACACGGUCACCAUGGAUAUAACUCUACCACCUGUCACCUGGCCGAGCCUAGCCCUCAGUACCAAGGUAAAUGGAGCUUUGAUUUUAGCACAUGAGGUAACCACGGAGGAGCCAAUUGGUGACGUCCUCUUAGUGUUGGCCACACCUGCCGUGAUCCGAUUAGCUGACUUCAUCAACGCAACAGCUUUAGUGGUCAGAGGCGGGGCCAUGGUGUUUGAGUGGCAGGUGUCUCUCCCAGAAUUCACCACUCACAGUCACACAGACAGGUAAGUCUAUCCCCUGAAGAUAUUUACUGUCACAGUAUUUACUGUCACAGAAAGUCGUUUUUUUUUACCUUGUUUUCUCCCUACUGUUUCUCUCUCUGUUUGGUUUUAUGUUUUCCCUUUUCUGUCUGUCUGUCUGUAUUUCUCUCUCUCUCUCUCUCUCUCGCUCCACACCACUCCCUCAAUCUCUUCAUCAUCCGUCCAUCUCUCCCUCUGUCCUAGGAACACCAGUGUGAGCUCCCUUCAUCUCCAGGCAGUUGUUCCAGGGAUGUAUAACAUUACCGUGACAACCUACUGUCCCCUGGGCCACACCUCAGUCAGCCGACACCUAGAGGUCAGGGUUCAUGGCCCCGUGGGUCAAGUUCAGGUCCAGUACCCAUUUGGGUCGGAUAGGGCAGCGCUCCACCUGCAGGCUGUUGGGACCUACGCCACGUCCCUCCUCCUGUUCAGAGGACACUCCUUCUCCCACAGCGCCCAUUUUGUUUUUGACUUCGGAGACGGGUUGCCAACUUCAUAUGUGAACGGUGUCUCUCAUUCGCUGGGAAAGACUGCAUCCACCUAUCACCAGUUCACUAAAGGUAAACAAGUAAUUAUGUUUGCAAAUGGAAAUAAAAAUAAAAACAAUACCUUACAUUCUCCUGAAAUUCGGCAUGAAGACAUUUUGGACACAAAGUAAUAGUUGAUAUUUGUCUAACUGUUGAAUCUUUAUUGCAUUCCCAGAGGGAGUGUUCCAGAUCAGAGUGUGGGCCUAUAAUGAGUUCUACAGAAGUAUGGCUACGGAACGUGUGUUCUAUGUAGAGAAGGUUCCAGCGGGUCUAGACCUCUCUGCACACUCAAGUGUGAUUCAUAAGAACCAGGUGGUUCUCUUUGAGGCUCUGUUAGAACAGGGAACUAACAUCUCAUACACCUGGAGUAUGGGAGACCAGACCACCUAUGUCAAUGCAGGUAUAAACCAGGCUUGGAUGUGAUAACAGGUUCUCAUACUUACAGACCAGACUAAAUGGAUUAUGGAAAAUACUGAAUAACAUCACAAUUCAUCCAUUUCCAAAUCUGUCUCAAAUCAGUUUAGAGUCUAUGUGUGAAUAUAAUUCUGAAUGCUUUAUCUGUGUGUGUGAAUAUAAUUCUUUGUGCUUUAUCUGUGUGUGUGUGUGUGUCUCCAGGUGCUGUAGUGUCCCACGUGUUCCUGUCUGUGGGUGCGUUUGAGGUGUGUGUGUUGGCUGAGAACAAAGUCGGGAGUGUGAGCCACUGUGUCCCCGUCUCUGUGCUGCACCGGAUGCAAUGUGCGUAUGACAUAUGACGUCCUAUCUAUGUCAGAAACAGG
rnacentral:lncRNA from 13 species